AUCUGUCCACCUAUCCACCUGUCCAUCCUAGUAUCAGCUGGCUGCCUCUCGAGCUGCCUUCCGACCUUCCAUGGGUCCACAUGUAUGGGCAGUCUGCUUUCUGUCCAGCUUGGGGCUGGCACUGCUGGCCCUUGAAUGAGGACCCUGCUGUGGGCACCCAUGUCCUGCAGGCAGCUGGAGUGGGACAGAGGGCCAUCGAUCUCAGGAGAUGCCGCCAGCAGGCCCGGGCUGGACAGGCCGACUGGUCCAGCCUCUAGGGACUGGCAGCAUCUCUCCUAUCCGUUGGCAGCCUUACUGUGCAUUCUACUUCCUGUGUGGCCUUGGGCAAUCGCUGCACCCUCUGUGCCUCGGUUUUCUCUCCUGUGGAGUGGGGAUGCAGCAGCACCUGCCCCGGGACUGUAGGAUGAAAUGAGAUGCUGGGUUGUGCUCGGGGGUUGUGCUCAGCAGUCACUGAAGGCACUGCAGCCAUCUCACUCUUCCCUCCUUCUGCUCCUGUCCUUUUAGGGAUGUUUCAGCAGCCCCUGAGAAGGAAGAGGAGGAAUCUGAGGGCCUGCUGAGGGCGCAGGACCUGAGGGAGUCCUACAUCCAGCUCUUCCAGGGUGUGCAGGAGUGGCAGGAUGGUUGCAUGUACCAGGGGGAGUUUGGGUUGAACAUGAAGCUUGGAUAUGGCGAAUUCUCUUGGCCCACAGGGGAGGUAACUGCUUCCACACUUUCUCCGCCUCCUCCCCUAGGGCCUCUGGUGCCUGGCCUUUCUCCUUCUAAGAGUGAUGGGACAGGAACUUUUAGGCCCAUCAACAGGAAGGAUGCUAGGCUAAAGUUUUUCCUCCUUGAGAAAUGUCCAGAGAAAAGCAUCUUUCCCAACUUCCAAAAUCACACCCAUGGUUUGCUGGGGUCCCAGGAUGAGGUUUGGGAAGCUGUGACUUAAGAAGAUAAGUUCUUAUUCUGGGCAAACGUUUUAAAAUUAUGAAUUACCAUAGCGACUCGUAUAUUUACCUUGGUGAAAUUGCUUGUGUCUAGGCUUAAGCAGAAGGCAGCGAAUGUUCUAAAAGACAAAAUGAGAACAAGUUUUGCACCCCCAGGCUAGGUCCUGAGCCCACAUUCAAUGCAGCUGAAACUGAAAAGGCCUCUGUUGGCGCUUGCCAUGGAAAGUCCAGGGGUGAGGUAGCCUCAGGCCUGGCUGGAUCCAGGAUUCUAAUGAUCUAACUAGGUCCUCUCUCUUUCCAUCUCCAUGAGGGGGUUCUAAGACUGACCUUGUUCCAUCUGCCCAGACCCUGGGGGUGGCAUCAAACACCCCUGGGAAAGAGAGAGGCCCCAGCAGGAUGCUGGUCUGACUUGGGGAUGCAUGAAGUGGUCAAGUGCAUCAAGGGUGGGGCAGGGGUAAGGCGUCCUCUGGUUGGCCAGGCCUGGCCCAGGCGCUGCGGCUGGGUCCCUUGGGGAAUCCUCUUUGUAGGGAGAGGUUAUUUGUUGUCAGUAGAAAGGGAAGGGACACUAAGCUGUGAAAACUGCCAUGCCCUUCAUGUCAGGGUCAGGUCUGGGUGGACUGUGAGCAUGGAUGGCUGUGCGGGCACUCCAGGCCCAUCCUGUUUCUGAGAAAAAGGUGGUGCCUGGCACUCAGCAUGAGGGUCUCCUGGCUGGAAGCCCUUGUCAUAAAUGUCACAUUCUUUUUUUUUUUCGAGAUGGAAUUUUACUCUUGUUGCCCAGGCUGGAGUGCAAUGGCACGAUCUCAGCUCACUGCAACCUCUGCCUCCAGGGUUCUAGCGAUUCUCCUGCCUCAGCCUCCUGAGUAGCUGGGAUUACAGGCAUGCACCACCACCCCCAGCUAAUUUUUGUAUUUUUAGUAGAGACGGGGUUUCACCAUGUUGGUCAGUCUGGUCUUGAACUCCUGACCUUAGAUGAUCCACCUGUCUCAGCCUCCCAAAGUGCUGGGAUUACAGAUGUGAGCCACCACACCUGGCCAAAGGUCACAUUCUUUUUCCCUCUGGGGGCCUUUUGUAGAGGGGCAGGCUCUGACACACUCACUCCUGUUGUUUGUGGAGCUCACGUGUCCAACCAGUGCUGAAGAGUUAUAAAUCAGAGUCCUCCCCUGUGCCUACUGGGGCCCACAGCCAACUUCCCAGGGCCAGCCUGUCACCUGUGAACCUGGCAGGGAGCUCAGCAGCAUGGGGCUCCUGAGUAGGGACAAGACCCUCCAAACCUAAGGUCAAGGUCACCAGGGAGAAGGCAAGUCCGUGCUCUCCUGACUCAGGAUGUCUAGGCAGUUUUAAGCCUUGCCACAGUCCCCAGCCCGAGGAGAAGACAGAGAGGGAGCCUGGCUGUCAGGCUGACUGCCUGGUAACCCCUCUGGGUGCUUCAGUUGCCGACUCUAAUAGUCGCAUGCCAAGCAUCCCUGAGUUCUGCCACAGCCCCGGGUGGUCCCCAUUCAUUGCCAACCAGGCAUGUGGCUCGGCCUCUAGGGCAUCCCGUCAGGUUCUGGAAGAGCAGCAAUUUCUCACCAACUUCUCCAUCUCACAGUCAUACCAUGGGCAGUUUUACUGGGACCACUGCCAUGGCCUGGGUACCUACAUGUGGCCAGAUGGCUCCAGUUUCACGGGCACAUUUUACCUCAGCCACCGAGAAGGCUACGGCACCAUGUACAUGAAGACACGGCUUUUCCAGACUCACUGCCACAACGACAUUGUGGACCUUCUCCUGGACUGUGGGGCCGAUGUGAACAAGUGCUCAGACGAGGGCCUCACAGCACUCAGCAUGUGUUUCCUCCUCUACUACCCCGCCCAGUCAUUCAAGCCCAAUGUUGCUGAACGGACCGUACCUGAGCCCCAGGAAUCUCCAAAAUUCCCAGUUGUUCCAAUCCUUUCAUCAUCAUUUAUGGACACAAACCUGGAGUCUCUGUACUAUGAGGUGAACGUGCCUUCCCAGGGUAGCUAUGAGCUGAGGCCACCGCCAACACCACCGGCACUGCCACACAUCUCGGGCAGCCAGGAGGGCGGCCACUCCCAGGACACCGGGCAGUGUGGGGAGUCCAUGGACCACAGGAGCAGCUCUCUGAAGGGGGACUCCCCGUUGGUGAAGGGCAGCCUUGGCCAUGUGGAAAGUGGGCUCGAGGACGUGCUGGGAAACACAGACCGGGGCAGUCUGUGCAGUCUUGAGACGAACUUUGAGUCCAAUGUGUGUGUGUGCAACUUCUCCAUCGAGCUCUCGCAGGCCAUGCUGGAGAGAAGCGCCCAGUCCCACAGCUUGCUGAAGAUGGCCUCACCCUCACUGUGUACCAGCAGCUUCGACAAAGGGACCAUGCGGAGGAUGGCGCUGUCCAUGAUCGAGUAGGUCCUGGCACCAGCUGGUGGGGGUGGAGGGCCACCAUCAGGGCUGAAUCCUAUGCUCAGCAGACCCGCGUCUCUUCCCUGUGCCAGCGGGAGGUGUUGUGUCUGGAGAUGUGUGUCUGAAUGUGUGAGCAUCCCUGUGUCGGUGGCUCCACGCCAUGGCCUGCUUUGGCCUUUGGCACUGGCCUGAAGUGUCUCUGUGGGAGCCUCAGCAGGGGCCACUGUCAGGGGUCCUAUCCUAGCCAUGGUGCAUGUGAGUGACACCUGCCUGGGCAGCUCACACACCCCUGCUGCCCACCCUGUCUAUACCAGUGUGUCUCAAAAUGUGGUCCAUGCACCCCUGGGGGUCCAAGACCCUUUCAGAGAGUCUGUGGGGUCAAAAUGAUUCUCUUGAUAACCCUGAGACUCUCUUAGCCUUCUCCUUGUGUUGACGUUGGUGGAUGGUAUGAAGACAGGGUCGUGCAGACCGCCAGCCCCCAGCCUGCAGGGCAGCAGUGCCUGGCCUGCUUGGGGGCAUGGUAUUCCUUU
rnacentral:sRNA from 1 species